UUAUGCCUACGGGACGCAGCAGUGGGGAAUAUUGCACAAUGGGGGAAACCCUGAUGCAGCGACGCCGCGUGAGCGAUGAAGUAUUUCGGUAUGUAAAGCUCUAUCAGCAGGGAAGAAGAUGACGGUACCUGACUAAGAAGCCCCGGCUAACUACGUGCCAGCAGCCGCGGUAAUACGUAGGGGGCAAGCGUUAUCCGGAUUUACUGGGUGUAAAGGGAGCGUAGACGGCAUGGCAAGUCAGAUGUGAAAGCCCGGGGCUCAACCCCGGGACUGCAUUUGAAACUGUCAGGCUGGAGUGCAGGAGG
rnacentral:rRNA from 1 species